AUGAGCUCGCGUCUGAUUAGCUAGUUGGUGUGGUAAGAGCGCACCAAGGCGACGAUCAGUAGCUGGUCUGAGAGGAUGAUCAGCCACACUGGGACUGAGACACGGCCCAUACUCCUACUGGAGGCAGCAGUGGGGAAUUUUCCGCAAUGGGCGAAAGCCUGACGGAGCAAUACCGGGUGAGGGAGGAAGGCUUUUGGGUUGUAAACCUCUUUUCUCAAGGAAAAAAAAAAUGACGGUACUUGAGGAAUAAGCAUCGGCUAACUCCGUGCCAGCAGCCGAAGUAAUACGGAGGAUGCAAGCGUUAUCCGGAAUGAUUGGGCGUAAAGGGUCCGCAGGUGGCAAUGUAAGUCUGCUGUUAAAGAAUGAGGCUCAACCUCAUCAGAGCGGUGGAAACUACACAGCUAGAGUGCGUUCGGGGUAGAGGGAAUUCCUGGUGUAGCGGUGAAAUGCGUACAUAUCAGGAAGAACACCAGUGGCGAAUGCUCUUUACUAGGCCGUAACUGACACUGAGGGACAAAAG
rnacentral:rRNA from 1 species